rnacentral:rRNA from 1 species
AUUGAACGCUGGCGGCAUGCCUUACACAUGCAAGUCGAACGGUAACAGGUCUUCGGAUGCUGACGAGUGGCGAACGGGUGAGUAAUGCAUCGGAACGUGCCCAGUUGUGGGGGAUAACUGCUCGAAAGAGCAGCUAAUACCGCAUACGACCUGAGGGUGAAAGCGGGGGAUCGCAAGACCUCGCGCAAUUGGAGCGGCCGAUGUAAGAUUAGGUAGUUGGUGGGGUAAAGGCCUACCAAGCCGACGAUCUGUAGUUGGUCUGAGAGGACGACCAGCCACACUGGGACUGAGACACGGCCCAGACUCCUACGGGAGGCAGCAGUGGGGAAUUUUGGACAAUGGGCGCAAGCCUGAUCCAGCAAUGCCGCGUGCAGGAAGAAGGCCUUCGGGGUGUAAACUGCUUUUGUACGGAACGAAACGGUCCGGGUUAAUACCCUGGGCUAAUGACGGUACCGUAAGAAUAAGCACCGGCUAACUACGUGCCAGCAGCCGCCGUAACAC